rnacentral:misc_RNA from 1 species
GAUGAAGAACGUAGCGAAAUGCGAUAACUAAUGUGAAUUGCAGAAUUCAGUGAAUCAUCGAGUCUUUGAACGCACAUUGCGCCCCCUGGUAUUCCGGGGGGCAUGCCUGUCCGAGCGUCAUUGCUGCCCUCAAGCACGGCUUGUGUGUUGGGCUCCGUCCCCCCGGGGACGGGCCCGAAAGGCAGCGGCGGCACCGAGUCCGGUCCUCGAGCGUAUGGGGCUUUGUCACCCGCUCUGUAGGCCCGGCCGGCGCCAGCCGACAACCCAUCAUCCUUUUCAGGUUGACCUCGGAUCAGGUAGGGAUACCCGCUGAACUUAAGCAUAUCAAAGCGGAGGA